GGGGUCCUCCCUGCGCCACACGGCCGUCGCCAUGGUGAAGCUGAGCAAAGAGGCCAAGCAGAGACUACAGCAGCUCUUCAAGGGGAGCCAGUUUGCCAUUCGCUGGGGCUUUAUCCCUCUUGUGAUUUACCUGGGAUUUAAGAGGGGUGCAGAUCCCGGAAUGCCUGAACCAACUGUUUUGAGGUACUGCUCUUAAAACUAAACAUUUCAGGACAAAUGUUCAUACAGUAGUACUGAAUCACUAAGAUGUAAAAGAGUAAUAGUGGCAGGCCUUGAAAUGGAGCUUUAUCAGUCAGUAUAGUUUUGGGCUAUUGGAAAACUGCAACUACUUUCUCUUCCCCCUCCUAAUUUGUAUUUACUGUACCAUGUUAUAACUACAAUGAAGCAUAUUUUAACAGAAAAAGAAUUUAUUAUCCUACCACUUUAAAAUACGAACUGUUUUAAAUUUCUCAUAUUCCCGUCUUAUCCUCAUUCAGAUGAAUACAACCUUUUAUAUCGCUCUGACAAGGGUAUGCAGGAU
rnacentral:lncRNA from 10 species